AGCCUAAAGGCGCAAUGAAAGUGAAGGUCGAUCUUAGCGUCGACCGAGGGAGGAUGGCUCGCGUCACGAUGCGAGCCCGCACUCCCGGGGCGUCUCGUGCUCAUUGCGAGCAGAGGCGCACCCAGAGCGUACACGUUGGGACCCGAAAGAUGGUGAACUAUGCCUGGUCAGGACGAAGUCAGGGGAAACCCUGAUGGAGGUCCGUAGCGAUUCUGACGUGCAAAUCGAUCGUCGGAACUGGGUAUAGGGGCGAAAGACUAAUCGAA
rnacentral:rRNA from 1 species